rnacentral:rRNA from 1 species
AACGAACGCUGGCGGCAUGCCUAACACAUGCAAGUCGAACGAGACCUUCGGGUCUCGUGGCGCACGGGUGCGUAACGCGUGGGCACCUGCCCUUAGGUUCGGAAUAACUCCCCGAAAGGGGUGCUAAUACCGGAUAAUGUCUUCGGACCAAAGAUUUAUCGCCUUUGGAUGGGCCCGCGUUGGAUUAGCUAGUUGGUAGGGUAAAAGCCUACCAACGCGACGAUCCAUAGCUGGUCUGAGAGGAUGAUCAGCCACACUGGGACUGAGACACGGCCCAGACUCCUACGGGAGGCAGCAGUGGGGAAUAGUGGACAAUGGGCGAAAGCCUGAUCCAGCAAUGCCGCGUGAAUGAUGAAGGCCUUAGGGUUGUAAAGCUCUUUUACCCGGGAUGAUAAUGACAGUACCGGGAGAAUAAGCGCCGGCUAACUCCGUG